rnacentral:lncRNA from 1 species
CUGCAUCUGACUAGACAUUUCAUCCAAGUCCACAUAUCUUAGUAAUGUGUAGUGAUGGCAUGAUAGUACUCAAUCGACCAAAAUGGCAGGAACUUCAUUUCACCUAAUAGUCUAAAAAUAAGCUAAAAACCAAAAUGCAUCUUUAAUUUUGGAAACGGAUGGAGUAUUUGACAACUGAAAUUAACAAACAGAUGAUAAGUCUCCUAUAAUAGAUAAUACAUGAAAACCAAUUCAAUCACAGAAAAAUUCAUACCCAAC